UACGUAGGGGGCUAGCGUUGUCCGGAAUCAUUGGGCGUAAAGAGCGUGUAGGCGGUCCGGUAAGUCCGCUGUGAAAGUCGGGGGCUCAACCCUCGAAUGCCGGUGGAUACUGUCGGGCUAGAGUGCGGAAGAGGCGAGUGGAAUUCCUGGUGUAGCGGUGAAAUGCGCAGAUAUCAGGAGGAACACCUAUUGCGAAGGCAG
rnacentral:rRNA from 1 species